AUGUUGGGUUAAGUCCCGCAACGAGCGCAACCCUUGUUUGCUGUUGCCAUCAGGUAAUGCUGGGCACUCUGCAAAGACUGCCGGUGAUAAACCGGAGGAAGGUGGGGAUGACGUCAAGUCAGCAUGGCCUUUAUGUCUGGGGCUACACACGUGCUACAAUGGCCGAUACAAACCGUCGCAAAACCGCAAGGUGGAGCUAAUCGGAGAAAGUCGGUCUCAGUUCGGAUAGCAGGCUGCAACUCGCCUGCUUGAAGUUGGAAUCGCUAGUAAUCGCGGAUCAGCACGCCGCGGUGAAUACGUUCCCGGGCCUUGUACACACCGCCCGUCACAUCACGAAAGCCGGUUGUACUAGAAGUCGCCAUACCAACCCGCAAGGGAGGGAGGCGCCUAAGGUAUGGUCGGUGAUUGGGGUGAAGUCGUAACAAGGUAA
rnacentral:rRNA from 1 species